GGUGGAGCAUUGCGUGAAGCGUCUGCGUGUCUGCGAGAUCUUGCUGUGGGCCAGGUAUCCAUUCUCCUGCGGCAGCUUAGACCCUACGGAGACUAGAGGUCCGUGGGUGGUGGAGGAUCCUUUGCGUAGCAAAAAAAGAAGGCGAGUGCCCCUGCAUCCUCUCCAGACGGUACCCAGGGUCUCGCUUUUCAGAUCUAGCUGUUGUGGACCUCACUGAGAUCCCCAUCUGCCUACAAAGUGCUGGGAUUAAAGAACAUCCACCAUUAUUAGAACCAUCACCCUGCAGCUAGCUUGGACAUCCUUAAAAGGGCUCAUCAGAAGUAUCUGAUAUUCAUGAAGACAGAGUUUCAGGGUUUCUGCCUGGAGCUACACCCUCCAGGAGCCCCUGCUUGGCUUCC
ensembl:lincRNA Kantr Kdm5c adjacent non-coding transcript